GACGAACGCUGGCGGCGUGCUUAACACAUGCAAGUCGAACGGAAAGGCCCUGAUUUUGUGGGUUGCUCGAUUGCCGAACGGGUGAGUAUCACAUGUGUAACCUGUACUUGACUUUGGGAUAUCUUUAGGAAACUGGGGCUCUUACCGGAUAGGAGCUCCUGCUCCAUGUUGGUGGUUAGUAAGUUUCGGCGGUUGUGGAUGGACUCGCGGCUUACGCGCUUGUUGGUCUGGUAGGUGCAUACCAAGGUUUUGACGGGUAGCCGGCCUGAGAGGGGGACCGGCGACAAUGGGACUGAGAUAGGGCGCAGUCGCGAACGGGAGGCAGCAGGGGGGAAUAUUGCAGAACGGGGCGAAGCGUGAUGCAGCAACGCCGCGUGCGGGAUGACGGCCUACGGGUUGUGAACCGCUGUCGCCGGUGCCGAGCCGUGAGUGACGGUAAUUGAUAAAGAAGCACCGGCUAACUACGUG
rnacentral:rRNA from 1 species